rnacentral:rRNA from 1 species
AGAGUUUGAUCCUGGCUCAGNAUAAACGCUGGCGGCGUGCCUAACACAUGCAAGUCGAACGUCCUUGCGCAAGCAAGGGAGUGGCGGACGGGUGAGGAACACGUGGGGCAUCUACCUUCGGGUGAGGAAUACCGGCGAGAAAUCGCCGACAAGACCGCAUAUGCUCUUUCGCAAGAGAGAGGAAAGCUUCUUUCGUAAGAGGGAGGCGCCAGAAGAGGACCCUGCGUCCGAUUAGUUGGUCGGUGGGGUAACGGCCUACCAAGACGACGAUCGGUAGCUGGUCUGAGAGGACGAUCAGCCACACUGGGAUUGAGAACGGCCCAGACUCCUACGGGGGGCAGCAGUGAGGAAUUUUCGUCAAUGGGGGCAACCCUGAACGAGCAACGCCGCGUGCAGGAAGACGCUUUUCGGAGUGUAAACUGCUUUUCUCGGGGAAGAGAACGGACGGUACCCGAGGAAGAAGCCUCGGCUAACUACGUGCCAGCAGCCGCGGUAAUACGUAGGAGGCGAGCGUUGUCCGGAGUUACUGGGCGUAAAGCGCACGCAGGCGGUGCACCAAGUCUGGAGUGACAGCGCUCGGCUUAACCGAGCAGGGUCUUUGGAAACUGGUGGACUUGAGGGCUUCAGAGGAAUGCGGAACUCCGGGUGGAGUGGUGAAAUGCGUAGAUAUCCGGAAGAACACCAAAGGCGAAGGCAGCAUUCUGGGAAGUACCUGACGCUCAGGUGCGAAAGCCAGGGGAGCGAACGGGAUUAGAUACCCCGGUAGUCCUGGCCGUAAACGAUGACCACUAGACGUUGGGGGUAUCGACCCCCUCAGUGUCGAAGCUAACGCGAGAAGUGGUCCGCCUGGGGAGUACGGUCGCAAGAUUAAAACUCAAAGGAAUUGACGGGGACCCGCACAAGCAGCGGAGCGUGUGGUUUAAUUCGAUGCAACGCGAAGAACCUUACCAAAGCUUGACGUGCUCUUGCACCAGCCGUAAUGGGUUGUCCUCUUCGGAGGCGGGAGCACAGGUGCUGCAUGGCUGUCGUCAGCUCGUGUCGUGAGAUGUUGGGUUCAGUCCCGCAACGAGCGCAACCCCUGUCGGAUGUUAUCGGUCAUCCGAGACCGCCGCGAUGAACGUGGAGGAAGGAGGGGAUGACGUCAAGUCAGCACGGCCCUUACGCUUUGGGCGACACACACGCUACAAUGGUCGGGACAAAGGGCAGCGAACCAGCGAUGGGGAGCUAAUCCUGUCAAACCCGGCCUCAGUUCAGAUUGGAGGCUGCAACUCGCCUCCAUGAAGUCGGAGUUGCUAGUAACCGUGGGUCAGCACACCACGGUGAAUACGUUCCCGGGUCUUGUGCACAYCGCCCGUCACACCACGAAAGUCGGCAACACCUGAAGCCGUCKGGCUAACUCGCGAGAGAGGCAG